CGAUUGAAUGGCUCAGUGAGGCUCUCGGACUGGCUCCAGGAGGUCGGCAACGACCACCCAGAGCCGGAAAGUGAGUCAAACUUGGUCAUUUAGAGGAAGUAAAAGUCGUAACAAGGUUUCCGUAGGUGAACCUGCGGAAGGAUCAUUAAAAACGUACGAGGUAUUCCCUCUGCAUGAGUACUCCUCCCAGUUGUCCGAGGCGCCAAAAACGCUGAAGCUCGGGAGGAUACGCUUCAACCCUUUGUGAAACACCUGUUGCUUUGGCAGCUCUUCUCCGGAAGGUCAGUCUGUCAGAAGCUCGCAAGAAACUCUUUGUUUAUAAACAUUGUCUUGAAAAGAAAUGAAAAUUCUUUAAAACUUUCAACAACGGAUCUCUUGGUUCUCGCAUCGAUGAAGAACGCAGCGAAACGCGAUAGGUAAUGUGAAUUGCAGAAUUCAGUGAAUCAUCGAAUCUUUGAACGCACAUUGCGCCUUUUGGUAUUCCGAGAGGCAUGUCUGUUUGAGCGUCAUUACAAACCCUCAAGCCUAGCUUGGUGUUGAGCUCCGGUCCGUCCAGGCUCUAAUGUAGUACGCUUGCGGGCUCUCCUCAUAAUUACAACGUAGUAAAACUUCUUUCGUUGUGUUGGAAGGAGAGUUCUGCCUGAAUCAACCCCUCAGAGUUUGACCUCAGAUCAGACAAGGAUACCCGCUGAACUUAAGCAUAUCAAUAAGCGGAGGAAAAGAAACCAACAGGGAUUGCCUUAGUAACGGCGAGUGAAGCGGCAACAGCUCAAAUUUGAAAUCUGAUGUCUUUUGACGUUCGAGUUGUAAUUUGAAGAGGAAUCUUCGGUUUGGACCACGGCCCAUGUCCCUUGGAACAGGGCGUCGUAGAGGGUGAGAAUCCCGUUGACGGCUGAUGGUCUCUUUCCAUGUGAAGUUCCUUCGAAGAGUCGAGUUGUUUGGGAAUGCAGCUCUAAACGGGAGGUAAAUUUCUUCUAAAGCUAAAUAUUGGCGAGAGACCGAUAGCGCACAAGUAGAGUGAUCGAAAGAUGAAAAGCACUUUGAAAAGAGAGUUAAACAGUACGUGAAAUUGUUGAAAGGGAAGCGCUUGCAAUUAGACUUGUCUUUGGUGGAUCAACGUUCCUUCUGGUUCGUGCACUCCGUCUUUGACAGGCCAGCAUCGGUUGCGACGGCGGGACAAAGACCUUAGGAAUGUGGCUCUCUUCGGGGAGUGUUAUAGCCUUCGGUGCAAUGCCGCCUGUCGCGAUCGAGGACCGCGCUUCGGCUAGGAUGCUGGCGUAAUGAUUGUAAGCGACCCGUCUUGAAACACGGACCAAGGAGUCUAACAUCUAUGCGAGUGUUUGGGUGUCAAACCCAUACGCGUAAUGAAAGUGAACGGAGGUGGGAGCCGCAAGGUGCACCAUCGACCGAUCCUGAUGUUCUCGGAUGGAUUUGAGUAGGAGCAUAGCUGUUGGGACCCGAAAGAUGGUGAACUAUGCCUGAAUAGGGUGAAGCCAGAGGAAACUCUGGUGGAGGCUCGCAGCGGUUCUGACGUGCAAAUCGAUCGUCAAAUUUGGGUAUAGGGGCGAAAGACUAAUCGAACC
rnacentral:rRNA from 1 species